AGUGAACGCUGGCGGUAGGCCUAACACAUGCAAGUCGAACGGCAGCACAGUAAGAGCUUGCUCUUACGGGUGGCGAGUGGCGGACGGGUGAGGAAUACAUCGGAAUCUACUUUUUCGUGGGGGAUAACGUAGGGAAACUUACGCUAAUACCGCAUACGACCUACAGGUGAAAGCAGGGGAUCUUCGGACCUUGCGCGAUUGAAUGAGCCGAUGUCGGAUUAGCUAGUUGGCGGGGUAAAGGCCCACCAAGGCGACGAUCCGUAGCUGGUCUGAGAGGAUGAUCAGCCACACUGGAACUGAGACACGGUCCAGACGCCUACGGGAGGCAGCAGUGGGGAAUAUUGGACAAUGGGCGCAAGCCUGAUCCAGCCAUACCGCGUGGGUGAAGAAGGCCUUCGGGUUGUAAAGCCCUUUUGUUGGGAAAGAAAAGCAGCAGGUUAAUACCCCGCUGUUCUGACGGUACCCAAAGAAUAAGCACCGGCUAACUUCGUG
rnacentral:rRNA from 1 species